AACUAGGAAAAUCGUAUACUGACCGGUUCCGACUUUACUAGUGACUUGUAAUUAUUGUUAUGAUUUUUUUAAUUUUCACAAAAUAUGAUAUUAUUAAUUAUUAAGCAUCAAUUUAUUGUAACAAAGAAUAAGGUGAGAUAUUCGUAUUCGGAUCGGUAUUUCGAAACGCUGUGCUACCCACUACGCCUCCUGGAAUUCUUGAGUUUUCUGAAUUUUUCUUGCGAAAAUCAAAAUACUCGUAACGUACCCAAAAAUACCCUAAAAACCCAAAACAAGUGU
rnacentral:lncRNA from 1 species